CUCCCCUGAUGUCAUCCAACAGGGAGGACCUAAUGCGCAAGAGCGGCGAGCAAGGACAGAUAUUAAAGGACCACUAUAGUACCAGGAAAACAAACUUGUUUUCCUGGCACUAUAUGGUCUUUAGGGGUGGGUCUACAUAUUUAACAUGCAUUUCUACUGCUCCUUUUAGCCGUUCUAUUUGUUACUUCUCACUUGAUCUAUGAACUAAAUGGCACAGAAAUGUGUGUUUCAGUGUACUGCAAAACAAACGCAUAAUUUUUACAUUAUGUAAUUAAGAAAUAGCUGCAUU